AAAAAAUUAGUUAAAAAUAACAUCAGUAUGUCAAACUGAAAUUAUUAGAAAUAUCUAAUAUUUUUUA
rnacentral:tRNA from 1 species